rnacentral:sRNA from 2 species
CUCCGUACGGGGAAGGAUGAGAAGCUUCGACUAAGGUUCGAUUCGAGCGCAGCGAGAAAGCGUUGCCGCAGGCAACGACCCGAAGGGCGAAGCGCGCAGCGCUGAGUCAUCCUUCCCCCACCACCA